UCGUGCUAAGCGGGGAGCUGGCGGUGCCCUGUACCCGAAAUCCGCCUUACGCGGGGCCGAAUUCCCUGCCGAGGUGCGGCCUCUUGGGGACCGGCUCAUACGGUGGGCGCUGAGGAUUGGGUCCUGUGCAACGGAGCGGUGUGAACCCGGUCAGAUCCGGAAGGAAGCAGCCGUAAGCACUUCACCUUCGUGUGCCAUAGAUCGCCUGGUCUGAGUUCGCUGUAUGAGUAUCGCUCGGGAGGUCGUAUCGACGCCGGGUGCACGA
rnacentral:SRP_RNA from 7 species